UCAUCGAUGGGGAUGCGUUCCAUUAGCUUGUUGGCGGGGUAACGGCCCACCAAGGCAUCGAUGGAUAGGGGUUCUGAGAGGAAGGUCCCCCACAUUGGAACUGAGACACGGUCCAAACUCCUACGGGAGGCAGCAGUGAGGAAUAUUGGUCAAUGGGCGCUAGCCUGAACCAGCCAAGUAGCGUGAAGGAUGACUGCCCUAUGGGUUGUAAACUUCUUUUAUAUGGGAAUAAAGUGCAGUAUGUAUACUGCUUUGCAUGUACCUUAUGAAUAAGGAUCGGCUAACUCCGUGCCAGCAGCCGCGGUAAUACGGAGGAUCCGAGCGUUAUCCGGAUUUAUUGGGUUUAAAGGGAGCGUAGGCGGGUUGUUAAGUCAGUUGUGAAAGUUUGCGGCUCAACCGUAAAAUUGCAGUUGAUACUGGCAUCCUUGAGUACAGUAGAGGUAGGCGGAAUUCGUGGUGUAGCGGUGAAAUGCUUAGAUAUCACGAAGAACUCCGAUUGCGAAGGCAGCCUGCUGGACUGUAACUGACGCUGAUGCUCGAAAGUGUGGGUAUCAAACAGGAUUAGAUACCCUGGUAGUCCACACAGUAAACGAUGAAUACUCGCUGUUUGCGAUAUAC
rnacentral:rRNA from 1 species